CGAGGAAUCUUGGGCAAUGGGCGCAAGCCUGACCCAGCGACGCCGCGUGGAGGAUGACGGCCUUCGGGUUGUAAACUCCUUUUGCGUGGGACGAAGAUCUGACGGUACCACGCGAAUCAGCCACGGCUAACUACGUGCCAGCAGCCGCGGUAAUACGUAGGUGGCAAGCGUUGUCCGGAUUUACUGGGCGUAAAGCGCGCGCAGGCGGUUCGGUACGUCCGGCGUGAAAGCUCCCGGCUCAACUGGGAGAGGGCGUUGGAUACGGCCGGACUGGAGGGCGGUAGAGGUCGGUGGAAUUCCCGGUGUAGUGGUGAAAUGCGUAGAGAUCGGGAGGAACACCUGUGGCGAAGGCGGCCGACUGGGCCGUCCCUGACGCUGAGGCGCGAAAGCGUGGGGAGCGAACCG
rnacentral:rRNA from 1 species